UGUCCCUACGCCCUCCUCUCUGCUCUACAGUUGCAGGCUUGAGGAAGGGAAGCUGUGGAAAAUCACAGAAGUGGAGAGAAGAGGCAGCCCCACCAGCCAGGAUGGAGAGAGCAAGGCAGGCACGGCUGCUCCACAGAGAAGUAAGCCAGUGCGUCUUCACGCUGAUGGAAGUACCGCCAGAGUUCCCUGGGAUAGGAACUCCCGUCCCAGCUCCAAUCCUGCAGCAUCUGAUCCAGGGGCCACGUCUCUAGGCUAUGGAACCUCCUGGAAGCAAAGCACUCUGUCCAGCACCUUGAUGGUGGUCUCCUCAUCAGAACCAGCUCCAGGCAGGAGGACAAGGUGAAGGAAGAGCCUAUCCACACUGCCUAGUCUACACCCCAUCUCCUGGGAGUCCCAGCCUGGCCUCCAGGAAGCCAAAGCUCUCUCCAGAGUUUUACCUUGCCAGCCACACUGAGAGGAACGAAAGAAGGGGAAGUAAGAGAACAAAGAAAUAGCCACUUCAAUCUUCCUAAAGUUGCAACUCAAGCCCACGCUCCCACACAUACACACUCACACAGUGGUCCCAUCUCUUAUGGUCUCUAGGACUCUACUUUGUCCUUGACCUGUUUUCAGAAUGCUGCUUCCUUGAACAUGGGGUUGAGUAGGAAGAAGGAAGGGAAGGGAAAUAAGAGAAUUUCCAACCACCUGGUUUGGGAUUGCCUUAGAGAGCUAUUCUGGUGGUACAGGCCCCUGCACACACACACAGACACGUGUAGCCACCAGUGUCUGUGUUUAGGAGAACGCUAAAAGCACUUUGUAUUCUUUUAGGCCAGUGAUUCUGGUCUCUCCCUCCCCAAGGGGAUGUUUGCAAUAUCUGGAGACAUUUUUUGCUGUCCCAGCUGGAGCCAAGCAUGCUACCAGCAUGUGGUGUAGAGAGGUCAGGCAUCCCAAGUGUCCUAGAGCACACAGCCCAACCCCCGCCCCACAGCAGAGACUUCUCUGACCUCAAUGUCAAAUGUGCCAUAGUUGAGGAACCCCGAGAUUUAGGGAAAGAACUCCUUUAGCACUGGUGAGGGGUCAGGGAGACCUAAAGGCACAAGAGGUAGAAUGAAAGAGUGAGAGGGUCUCAAAGUGUGGUAGGCGAGCGAGAGAAAGCAGCCUGCCAUUGAAGACACAAUCCCCACUCGUGUGUUGGAGAGAUGUUUUUGCUCUGUUACUGCCAUAGAGGGAAGACACAGAUUGCCAGGAUGACGAAGGAAGGGGGUAGAAUGUAAGCCUCUGGGUGUCUGCGGGCAGAGGCCAGGUAGAGCCAGGACCACACUGAUCCCUGGUAGUUUCUUCCUAUUUGUUCUUUUACCAGUUCAGCCUUCUUCUAGGCUCUUUUCAAUAUGCUGGGGAAAGCCCUCCUGUUGUCCUCAUUUUGCAGGCAGGAAAUCUAAGGCACAGAGAGGUUGAGUAAGUAGCCCACGGCCACACAGCUGGUAAGAUGCAGAGGCAGGAUUCAAACCAGGUCCGUCUGAUUUGAUGGGUGCUGACCUGACACUUGACCACCAGACUAUGAUGCAGUUCAGUGUGGCAAUCUCAGUUCAUGGAGGCUGACGCCUUCAGAUUAUUAAAGCCAAGAAAAGCAGAUGUUUGAAUCCACUGAGCAUCUCCCCUACAACAUAGCACCAACCCUUGGCUUGGGCCAGGGAGGGCACGACAAGUGGCCAAGCCCUCACAGAUUGCCUUUCACCCCCUUGGCCUCACUGGAAAGCCCAGGCACCACACUAUACCUGCCAGAGAGGACACCAGUUUGAAGGCACAGGAAGGCAAGCUCGUUCCCAAGGACUCUCUCAGUAGUUUUAAGGAAUAAUUGAAACUCGUAGUUGACCCCAACCCUGCAGAGCUGGCACAGGAGGAACACAAGCAUUUUAUAAACGCUCUUGCAGGAGGGGAGGUGAGCUCACUUCCUGAGGGAAUGCCUGCAGGGGGUGUCUGCGGGGGCCAGCCAGGCCUGGCUUUCAAACAUCUGAACCGGCCCACAGUGUAAUAGGGCAUGAAUAUUGAUUCAAAUAAAUUAUGCAUGUUUAUACACUCA